GCUAGCGUAGCUUAACUAAAGCAUAAC
rnacentral:tRNA from 1 species